GAUGAACGCUAGCGGCAGGCCUAACACAUGCAAGUCGAGGGGGAAGUUACUUUCGGGUGACUGAGACCGGCGUACGGGUGCGUAACGCGUAUACAAUCUGCCUUUCACUGGGGGAUAGCCCGAAGAAAUUUGGAUUAAUACCCCAUAGUAUAUAGGGACGGCAUCGUUUUUAUAUUAAAGCUUAGGUGGUGAAAGAUGAGUAUGCGUUCUAUUAGCUAGUUGGAGAGGUAACGGCUCCCCAAGGCGAUGAUAGAUAGGGGUUCUGAGAGGGAUGUCCCCCACACUGGUACCGAGAUACGGACCAGACUCCUACGGGAGGCAGCAGUGAGGAAUAUUGGACAAUGGUCGGAAGACUGAUCCAGCCAUGCCGCGUGCAGGAUGAAGGUCUUAUGGAUUGUAAACUGCUUUUGUAAGGGAAGAAUAAGGGCUACGCGUAGUUUGAUGACGGUACCUUACGAAUAAGCAUCGGCUAACUCCGUG
rnacentral:rRNA from 1 species